UGGUGAUACGAGCAACAUAGCUCCAAGACCAAUCUCAUUAGGAGGAAUGUAUUUGUUCCUUGCAUAAAUUAGAGUAACAUCUUCAUCCCCGUCUGGAUUCCAGAAAGGAUCUUUGUCUGCUUCUCCCAACAAAAGUUAACUGAGGAUGAUCCUGCUGAAACUAAGCUUGGUAUGCUAUUCAUUUCCUCUUCAAGACAAGCUGAAGAUCCCUCCUGUCCAGAAGCCUCUACUCCAACUUGUAGCCUUUGGUUAUCUCGAGUUAAGAGACGUGGAUUCAUCUCA